rnacentral:lncRNA from 1 species
CUUGCCCCUAUGCCCUGGGGUAAUCGCCUGCUGAUCAUAGAUAGAAAAACAUGGGAGUUGAGCUGGCUGUUUGAUUCCAUCUCCGUCAUAUGCUGUGCUCCUCCUGACUUGAGACCUUCUCAGGGUAUCAUUUAGCGGCAAUAGGAAUCUCACUUUGUGAUAUUGCCUAUCAUCCUUUCGAGUCUCGCAUCUCAUAUUCAAUCCAUCUCCACCAGUAGCUCCACCUUGCUCUGAACUCCUCCUGGCUCCUAAAGCUUCAUCUCGCACUGAGCUCCCUACCAGGUAGUAAUGUCCUCUCGUCCUCUUCUUCUCUUCC